GUGGGGAAUCUUGCGCAAUGGGCGAAAGCCUGACGCAGCCAUGCCGCGUGAAUGAUGAAGGUCUUAGGAUUGUAAAAUUCUUUCACCGGGGACGAUAAUGACGGUACCCGGAGAAGAAGCUCCGGCUAACUUCGUGCCAGCAGCCGCGGUAAUACGAAGGGGGCUAGCGUUGCUCGGAAUUACUGGGCGUAAAGGGCGCGUAGGCGGACAGCUUAGUCAGAGGUGAAAGCCCAGGGCUCAACCUUGGAAUUGCCUUUGAUACUGGCUGUCUUGAGUUUGGGAGAGGUGAGUGGAACUCCGAGUGUAGAGGUGAAAUUCGUAGAUAUUCGGAAGAACACCAGUGGCGAAGGCGACUCACUGGCCCGUUACUGACGCUGAGGCACGAAAGCGUGGGGAGCAAACAGGAUUAGAAACCCGUGUAGUCC
rnacentral:rRNA from 1 species